CCUACGGGAGGCAGCAGUGAGGAAUAUUGGUCAAUGGGCUUACGCCUGAACCAGCCAAGUCGCGUGAGGGAAGACUGCCCUAUGGGUUGUAAACCUCUUUUGUCAGGGAGCAACACCGGCUACGUGUAGCCGGACUGAGAGUACCUGAAGAAAACGCAUCGGCUAACUCCGUGCCAGCAGCCGCGGUAAUACGGAGGAUGCGAGCGUUAUCCGGAUUUAUUGGGUUUAAAGGGUGCGUAGGCGGAAGGUUAAGUCAGCGGUAAAAUGUCGGUGCUCAACACCGGCCUGCCGUUGAAACUGGUCUUCUUGAGUGAGCGAGAAGUAUGCGGAAUGCGUGGUGUAGCGGUGACAUGCAUAGAUAUCACGCAGAACUCCGAUUGCGAAGGCAGCAUACCGGCGCCCAACUGACGCUGAAGCACGAAAGCGUGGGUAUCGAACAGGAUUAGAUACCCUAGUAGUC
rnacentral:rRNA from 1 species